rnacentral:rRNA from 1 species
CAAUUAUACCGUGAAACUGCGAAUGGCUCAUUAAAUCAGUUAUCGUUUAUUUGAUAGUACCUUACUACUUGGAUAACCGUGGUAAUUCUAGAGCUAAUACAUGCUGAAAACCCCAACUUCGGGAGGGGUGUAUUUAUUAGAUAAAAAACCAACGCCCUUCGGGGCUUCUUGGUGAUUCAUGAUAACUUUGCGGAUCGCAUGGCCUUGCGCCGGCGACGGUUCAUUCAAAUUUCUGCCCUAUCAACUUUCGAUGGUAAGGUAUUGGCUUACCAUGGUUUCAACGGGUAACGGGGAAU